GAUGAACGCUGGCGGCGUGCUUAACACAUGCAAGUCGAACGAAGCGCUUAAACGGAUUUCUUCGGAAUGAAGUUUUUGCGACUGAGUGGCGGACGGGUGAGUAACGCGUGGGUAACCUGCCUCAUACAGGGGGAUAACAGUUAGAAAUGACUGCUAAUACCGCAUAAGCGCACAGUGCUGCAUGGCACAGUGUGAAAAGGAGAAAUCCGGUGAAGGGUGGGCUCGCGUCCGAUUAGCUAGUUGGCAGGGUGAUAGCCUACCAAGGCGACGAUCGGUAGCCGACCUGAGAGGGUGAUCGGCCACAUUGGAACUGAGAUACGGUCCAA
rnacentral:rRNA from 1 species